GUUAUAAAACUCAUGUUUCAAUCUAUAUGGCUAUUUAUCUGACAUCUUACAGUAUGAAAUUUUAUGUUAUAAUAGGCGAUACGAUAUUUGCAUUUCCUUAUUAGCAUCAAUAUACAAGUGGGAAUUCUAACGUAAAACACCACCAGCAAAUUUAUUCUACCAGACCAGUAAUUGUAAACAGUGGAAAACAAACAAUGGGCAUAAAAUUCCACUCAAUCGACUAUGCAGUAAUAAACGCUCCAACGAAUCAACGAAGAACUUAAAACUUCAGUAUCCAGCAUCUAUUAAUAAAUCCAUCUUGCCAGACCAUAGAGCAUGAAAAAACCAGGAAACGGGGAACGUAAAAUUACACCCAUUAAUAUCAGCCUACUAAAAAUAAGUAAAACAAAAUAAUUAGUGAAGAUUUUGCGAAACAGUCGAGUGUCACGGCGACACAACGCGCCAAAUAAGACGAACGAUGGCGAACAUUAAAUACGAAACGAUCGGUGGAUGGAUGGGAUCGGGUCGACAUUAAUGACGCGAACGCUACUUUUAAAUCGUCCUGGCGGUGUGGCCAUAUCGAGGAACCGCAGCGUGGGUCGCUACGCGUGAUUGCUGUUUACAUACAAGACGAACGCGAGGUGGAAACGAGACAAAAAGCUAAGAACGCGAGGAAAAAACGCGAGGUACAAGCGCCGUGCAGGAAAUGCGCCACAACAGCAUCGCGUUUCACCAUCAAGAGCAAUGCCAAUUUAGGAAGAUUCAAUGAAAAUCACGAAAAUUAUUGUUUCGUCCGAGCCACUUAAAACUUUAAAAUUGAGAAGCAAAGUGAUACUGUUAGAAGC